CAGUAACGGCGAGUGAAGCGGCAACAGCUCAAAUUUGAAAUCUGGCUCCUUCGGGGUCCGAAUUGUAAUUUGUAGAGAGUGCUUCGGGCGAGACCUCGGUCUAAGUCCAUUGGAACAUGGUGUCAUAGAGGGUGAGAAUCCCGUAUGCGACCGUGGCUCGAGCCCAUGUGAAGCCUCUUCGACGAGUCGAGUUGUUUGGGAAUGCAGCUCAAAAUGGGUGGUAAAUUUCAUCUAAAGCUAAAUACUGGCUGGAGACCGAUAGCGCACAAGUAGAGUGAUCGAAAGAUGAAAAGCACUUUGGAAAGAGAGUCAAACAGUACGUGAAAUUGUUGAAAGGGAAGCGCUUGCAACCAGACCUGCCCGUAGGCGAUCAGCCGCUGUUCUCAGCGGUGUACUCGCUCUGCGAUCAGGCCAGCAUCGGUUUCGGCGGUCGGAUAAAGACCUUGGGAAUGUAGCUUCCCUUCGGGGAAGUCUUAUAGCUCUCGGUGUAAUGCGGCCAGCCGAGACCGAGGACCGCGCUUCGGCUAGGAUGCUGGCGUAAUGGUUGUAAGCGACCCGUCUUGAAACACGGACCAAGGAGUCUAACAUCUAUGCGAGUGUUUGGGUGUCAAACCCAUACGCGGAAUGAAAGUGAACGGAGGUGAGAACCCUUAAGGGCGCAUCAUCGACCGAUCCAGAUGUCUUCGGAUGGAUUUGAGUAUGAGCAUAGCUGUUGGGACCCGAAAGAUGGUGAACUAUGCCUGAAUAGGGUGAAGCCAGAGGAAACUCUGGUGGAGGCUCGCAGCGGUUCUGACGUGCAAAUCGAUCGUCAAAUUUGGGUAUAGGGGCGAAAGACUAAUC
rnacentral:rRNA from 1 species